AUGAAAUAACAAUUAGCUAAUAUUGUUGUAGUGGCAUUUAAAAAAAAAAACAUUAAUUAGGGGUCUUAUUACAAUAGGAAACAAAUUUCCCUUGAUCUGUUGAUUUAAAAGAGUUCAAUGUGCAAUAAAAACACACCUUACCUUUAGAACUCAAAACUUCCUUCACAGUCCAAAAAGAGCAUUUAUUAAAACUAAACCAUAAAAACGACUCCCAACUCAUUAUUGAAUGUGAUGACCACAUUUAUAUGUCAAUGUAAGGAACCCCUUAAAGGACAUAGGGGUAAUUUAUUUUCUGAAAUAGUUUUGUGUUACCUUGCAAAAGGUUUUUUUGUCUCAUCGCAAGAGUUUUGCAUUCUCUCGCAAAAAUGUAACUAGUUAAUGUCUAAUAAGUUAAUAACUAUGGUAUUUGUAUAAAACAUUCCUAGUGAAACCAGAGUAACAAUACAGGACAACUAAAACUCUGGUUAUACAAAUCACAAUUUUGUGGAUACUUUGAUCUUACUACAAAUACCAUAGUUUAACUACACUGUAAAAAACGAUUUGUGUGAGUUUACAGUAAAUUCCUGGAUACUAGUUGCAUGACUUUCACAGUAUUUUACAGUAGUAUUUCAACAAUGUAUCACACUUAAAAGACAACUGUAUACUGUGACUUUGCAGUGAAUAGGGCCAGGAAAAUAUUGUAAUGUAGCAGUGCUGUGUUGUAGAAUCACAAUUAUCAAAUGUAUAUUUUUUUCACCUGCAAUGCUUGUUAAUUGUCACCAUUGUUGAGUUUUGUAUGCUGAAAGUUGACAAUAUUUGUGUACCUGGUUGACAACUCUCCUGAAACUUUAUGUGCCAUAACAGAUUAACAAUCUAUCACUGCAUGGCAUUACAAGCAUCAUUAUCUCACUGUUUAAUUACAACUAUGUAUUUUUCUUACAAAACAUAGACUUACUCAAUCAUUAAAUUGAACACAUUUUCUCCCUGUCACACAGUGCAAAGAAUAAUGUUCUUAAAGCACGAUUGCAUCAGCUAGGAUACAUUUGAUUUACUUCAAAUAAGUCAAAGUUCCUAUUCAAAGGAAACACUAAACACUAUAAUGGUGACUUUAAAUGAAACACAAUUAUCCCAUAAUGCAGUGCGAUAUUGUUAUUUCUUUUUCGCAGUAAUUUGUUGUGUUAUAACAGAAAAUGACAUAGCCUGCACUGAUUUUACUGUAAAAUUUUGAAAGCAGUAUUUUAUUGUAAGAAAUUGCUGUUAAAUGUUGUAAAAUCCUGGAAUUGUUUACAGUGUAUGAUAUUUGUAGUAAAACCGUAGUAAACACAAAAUGUACCAUGGUUACUACAGUCAUGGUUAAUACAAUAUUACUAUAAUAAAACCAUAAUUAAUUUGUUGUGAGGAAAUGCAAACCUUUUUGCAAGGGAAAGCAAAAAAAUAAAUAAACCUUUCAACAAAUUAAUUGCCUCCUUGCCCUUUACGAGACUGUUUAGAAAUUAGGACUGCACAAUCAUGCUGAGUUCAUCAACAAAAACAGGACAGAUGCUAUAACUCCAUUCCUUACACCAAAAAGCGUUCAGAGAAAAGCAUAAAGUUCAGAGAGAGGAGGACAAUUAUUAUGAGAAACUAAAUUAUUAAUCUUUUGAGGGGAAUAGCAUAAUACAGUAUGACCCCUUCAUCAGCCCAGGUUGAUUAAGAGUCAUUUCAUUUAAAAGAAACUAUACCAU